GCUCUCACAGCGCUCUUUUGUCAUCGUCAGACAAAUCAAACCACGACCAUGUGUCGCCAUGAAGUUGAUGGACUCUGGCGUGAUGUGCUCCGCCGCCAUAAUCA
rnacentral:antisense_RNA from 1 species